GUCCGUCACCAUCCAUUUUUUUUUAAUUCACCUGACUCUAGUUGCAAAUAAAGGUCUUUCGAGUGCAGUUUUGCGUAAUAUAUCAAUUUCGCUACGCCCGAAAAACCACCUCUUGCCAGCAAAAAAACUUUUCAUC